rnacentral:lncRNA from 10 species
GUGCGUCACGGGUGGCGGGCGCGGGAAGGGGAUUUGGAUUGUUGCGCCUCUGCUCUGAAGAAAGUGCUGUCUGGCUCCAACUCCAGUUCUUUCCCCUGAGCAGCGCCUGGAACCUAACCCUUCCCACUCUGUCACCUUCUCGAUCCCGCCGGCGCUUUAGAGCCGCAGUCCAGUCUUGGAUCCUUCAGAGCCUCAGCCACUAGCUGCGAUGCAUGUGAUCAAGCGAGUAGAGAUGGGGUUUCACCAUAUUGGCUAGACUGGUCUCGAACUCCUGACCUCAGGUGAUCCGCCUGCUUUGGCCUCCCAAAGUGCUAGGAAUACAGGCUGAGCCACCAUGCCCUGCUGGCUAGAGGAUUUUAAAAGAGGAAAAGAUGGCCGCCAAGAACGAGUCAUGUUUGACAAAAUUACAUCUCGAAUCCAGAAGCUUUGUUAUGGACUCAAUAUGGAUUUUGUUGAUCCUGCUCAGAUCACCAUGAAAGUAAUCCAAGGCUUGUACAGUGGGGUCACCACAGUGGAACUAGAUACUUUGGCUGCUGAAACAGCUGCAACCUUGACUACUAAG